rnacentral:rRNA from 1 species
UACGAAGGGGGCUAGCGUUGUUCGGAAUCACUGGGCGUAAAGGGCGCGUAGGCGGCCGCUCAAGUCGGGGGUGAAAGCCUGUGGCUUAACCACAGAAUUGCCUUCGAUACUGUUUGGCCUGAGACCGGAAGAGGUGAGUGGAACUGCGAGUGUAGAGGUGAAAUUCGUAGAUAUUCGCAAGAACACCAGUGGCGAAGGCGGCUCACUGGUCCGGUUCUGACGCUGAGACGCGAAAGCGUGGGGAGCAAACAGG